rnacentral:misc_RNA from 1 species
GCCACUUUGUUUUCAUACACUCUGCACCCUUGAAAGUCUGUUUUUCCAGCUUAACGCAUGAUUGUCAUCCACGAUGAGUAUCUCAGGGAUAGAAUUCAUCAAGGCGGAGACUGUCGAAAUCAAAGAAGAAAGCAAUUUGCCUCCCGCUGCCGACGACGAUGCGCAAAACGCCGGCUACGAUACGCUGGACGUGCGAGCGAAUAACACCAAGUGCGGCGAAGUGUUUCUUAUGGAUACGGAUAAAUUCCUCCUGAUAUGCAGCUUCUGUGACGAACUCUACGCGAGCAUGCAUGAUUUCGGCGAGCAUAUUCGCGAGAAACAUCUGAAUGUCACGGUCCACGACGAGGAUGUGUUGGAAGUUAAGGGGGAAGAUAUUGCUCCAGCUUCCGAGCCUGCAGUAGAACCUGUAGAGGUGUCUGUUCCUGACGUUAGUGAACUGGAGCCAGAGAUAUCGAUGCAGGAUGGCGAAGGUGAAGCGAUUGAGGAGAUGAGAGAUGAUAGCGAAGGUGAUGAUGAGUACAACCCCACCGAAUCGGAUGCAUCCAAGGAUUCAGAUCCGGAAGCGAGCGGUUCAGACUAUGAACCGAAAAGGAGGUCGAGGACGAGGCAGAACCGCGAACCAGACCCUAGUUUAUUUUGUGACAAAUGCAACCGACAGUACAAAAGUUCCAUAACAUUCAAUCGACACUGUAAGACCGUACAUGACCAGAACAGAGAAGAUAAAAAACCGGAAAACUUCAAGUGCCGCUACUGUGACAAAGAAUUCGCCACCGAGGAGGAGCUGAGCGAACAUAAAAACACUCACGACCGCUUCCGUCCGUUCCAGUGUCCGCAGUGCCCCAAAUCCUUCACAUCGAGCAACCAUCGGCAGAAACACAUCAACAUGCACAUGGGCUACCGUCCCUACAAGUGCACGAAAUGUCCAAGUGCCUUCGGGACGGAGUGCAACCUUCGCCAGCAUAUGCUCACGCACGCAGUGGCUGGACCACUGAGUUGUGAGAUCUGCGGCAAACAGUUCAUCCACCAGAGCCGCAAAGAUGUCCACAUGCGGUCGCAUACAGGCGAAAAACCGUUCCAAUGUGAGCAAUGCGGACGCAAGUUCAUCAUCCGAAGUCGCCUGACCGAGCAUAUGAAACGCCACAACAACACGAGGAAUCACGGAUGCGAGAUUUGCGGGAAGAAGUUCUACACAAAUGUUAUGCUCAAGCACCACCAAGUGGCACACUCAAACGACCGCCCGUUUGCCUGCACGGAUUGCGGCAAGACCUUCCCGCGGAAAAUCUCACUGAAAAUGCACCGAAAAAUCCAUUCGGAUGUGAAGCAAUAUUCAUGUAACAUUUGUGGGAAGGAGUUCAGACAAUAUGCGGGUCUGUACGCGCAUCGGAAGUCGCACGGGGAGAAGAAGGGCCUUCCGCAGACCAAUAUCGCUGUGAGUGAUAAAUACACGCCCCCAACGCAUUUGCUUAUUGUUCAUAAUGAGGACUCACGUGAAGGCGAGAGCUAGAAUUGACCUCGAACGGAGCCUUUAGUACUCGAAAACUGGCCAAAAACCAAACCCCACCAGCCCAAGGUGCUACUACAUGUACAACGUUAAAGCUUCCGCGGCGCGCUAUAUCUUGCGGAAUGAAAGCUGCUGUAUACCGUGCGGUCAGGAUGCCAAAUUUUGUAAUGUAAGAAUUGUUAUCGUUGAUGUGUAUAUAGUAGGCUAGAUUUAUUUCUGUUAGGAAUUGUAUUAAAAUAUAAAGUACUACUAGGGCUAAGCCGUAAAUAUGCGAGUAUACAUCGAGCCUUUGCAACUAGAUUUCUGUUCCCUCAUGAAAAUAAGGGAAGGCGGUUGUCCAGCCAAAUACCUCCAGUAAAUGUGGAGGAGCUGCGGGUAAUAUGUGGUAGGAUCGGUGACAUCAAGGCCCCAGGUUUGGAUGGCAUCCCCAACC